rnacentral:misc_RNA from 1 species
AGAAGAAGAAGAAGAAGAAGAGAACCAUCAAUUAUAAUUGAUUAGUACUCCUUAUUUAGCCCAUAAUAUGAGACCAAGUUGCAGAAAGACAUGUGAAGGAGCCAGAUUCAGAGGAACUGAAUUCUCCUGUCGCAAUAAAAUUAGAGAGAGAAAAAUAGACAACGAGUACAUGCAAGAAGCAGGAAGCUCUCACCUCAUUUCAGGGGUGAGGUUGCCCCGCAAGAACAAUAGUGGAAUUACAGGCAUAGGUCCCUGGCCUUUUUCUGAAGAGAUCUGAGGCGGGUUUUAUCUUUCAAGGCAGUUCAUCAAAAAUCAAAAAUUU